rnacentral:lncRNA from 1 species
GCAGAUCGCUUGCAGCUUGCUAGCUGUGUGGGCUGGGAGGUCUGGUAGGGCUGAGCUUGCAAGAGGAUCAACAUGCCUUUGGCUAGAGAUUUACUACAUCCGUCCUUGGAAGAGGAAAAGAAAAAACAUAAAAAGAAACGCCUAGUACAAAGUCCAAAUUCUUACUUUAUGGAUGUAAAAUGUCCAGGUUGUUCAACAGUGUUGUGCCAGCCUACAGGAGGAAAGGCCAGACUCACAGAAGGGUGUUCAUUUAGAAGAAAGCAACACUAAUGAUUCAAACAGCUUCCUGAAUUUUAAUUUUGUGUUGUCUCACAGAAAGCCUUAUCAUAAAUUCCAUAAUUCUAAUUAAUUUACCAAGAUAAUGUAAUUACAUUUGGUUUUGUAAGGUAUACAGCAGUAAUCUCCUAUUUUGGUGUCAGUUUUUCAAUAAAGUUUUGAUUAUGGGCAAA